ACGAACGCUGGCGGCGUGCUUAACCCAUGCAAGUCGAACGGAAAGGCCCUGCUUGCAGGGUACUCGAGUGGCGAACGGGUGAGUAACACGUGGGUGAUCUGCCCUGCACUUCGGGAUAAGCCUGGGAAACUGGGUCUAAUACCGGAUAGGAGCCAUUUUUAGUGUGAUGGUUGGAAAGUUUUUUCGGUGUAGGAUGAGCUCGCGGCCUAUCAGCUUGUUGGUGGGGUAAUGGCCUACCAAGGCGGCGACGGGUAGCCGGCCUGAGAGGGUGGACGGCCACAUUGGGACUGAGAUACGGCCCAGACUCCUACGGGAGGCAGCAGUGGGGAAUAUUGCACAAUGGGCGCAAGCCUGAUGCAGCGACGCCGCGUGGGGGAUGACGGCCUUCGGGUUGGAAACUCCUUUCGCUAGGGACGAAGCUUUUUGUGACGGUACCUAGAUAAGAAGCACCGGCUAACUACGUG
rnacentral:rRNA from 1 species